GACGAACGCUGGCGGCGUGCCUAAUACAUGCAAGUAGAACGCUGAAGAGAGGAGCUUGCUCUUCUUGGAUGAGUUGCGAACGGGUGAGUAACGCGUAGGUAACCUGCCUUGUAGCGGGGGAUAACUAUUGGAAACGAUAGCUAAUACCGCAUAACAAUGGAUGACACAUGUCAUUUAUUUGAAAGGGGCAAUUGCUCCACUACAAGAUGGACCUGCGUUGUAUUAGCUAGUAGGUGAGGUAAUGGCUCACCUAGGCGACGAUACAUAGCCGACCUGAGAGGGUGGUCGGCCACACUGGGACUGAGACACGGCCCAGACUCCUACGGGAGGCAGCAGGAGGGAAUCUUCGGCAAUGGGGGCAACCCUGACCGAGCAACGCCGCGUGAGUGAAGAAGGUUUUCGGAUCGUAAAGCUCUGUUGUAAGUCAAGAACGGGUGUGAGAGUGGAAAGUUCACACUGUGACGGUAGCUGACCAGAAAGGGACGGCUAACUACGUG
rnacentral:rRNA from 1 species